rnacentral:rRNA from 1 species
AUGCAGUUGUCUUCCUCACGAGCGUGUACCAAAAAAAGAAACCCUUGCCUCUCAUCGCUCCCUUCGGCUUGUCGGGACACACGCUCACCGGUUGCCGCACCUCGCCGGCCUUCCUCGUCGUCGGUCCGCCCUCGCCGGAUGUCCUCGUCGCCGGUGGUCGCACCCUCGCCGCAGCCACAUGUCACCGUUUGCACUUGUCGCUGGCUUCACGCAUGCAACAGCUGUGGCCUGCGGUUGCAGCACCUGCGGCGACAGGCCCGUCGGCGCUCACCACCGGCACGCUCGCCAUCGUCAAAAUUGCAAACAAAAAAAGGCAUGUUGGUUCCAGCAAAACUGAAGAACAGUUGUAGCAGAAAAAUACACUGGUUCCAGCAAAAAUGCAAGACGAUUUUAACUAAAAUAUGGAUGUUUAUUUCAGCAAAAUCAAAACGGUGGUAA